rnacentral:rRNA from 1 species
AUUGAACGCUGGCGGAAUGCUUUACACAUGCAAGUCGAGCGGCAGCGCGGUCUUCGGACUGGCGGCGAGCGGCGAACGGGUGAGUAAUACAUCGGAACAUGCCCAGUCGUGGGGGAUAACACUUCGAAAGAAGUGCUAAUACCGCAUACGUCCUGAGGGAGAAAGCGGGGGAUCGCAAGACCUCGCGCGAUUGGAGUGGCCGAUGUCAGAUUAGCUAGUUGGUGGGGUAAAGGCCUACCAAGGCAACGAUCUGUAGCUGGUCUGAGAGGAUGAUCAGCCACACUGGGACUGAGACACGGCCCAGACUCCUACGGGAGGCAGCAGUGGGGAAUUUUGGACAAUGGGGGCAACCCUGAUCCAGCCAUUCCGCGUGAGUGAAGAAGGCCUUCGGGUUGUAAAGCUCUUUCGGCAGGAACGAAACGGUGAGCUCUAACAUAGCUCGCUAAUGACGGU